ACACACACACACACACACACACACACCACAUACAUACACACACAUACGCACAUACCACAUACCACACACACACACAUAUCACACAUACAUACACACACACACACACACCACAUACCACACAUACACACCACACACACACACCACAUACCACACAUAUAUACCACACACAUACCAUACAUACACAUCACACAUACACACACACAUAACCAAAUAAAAAUCCAAAUCUCGACACUAUUCUUGCUAUAUCCUUAAAGGCCAUCUCUCCUGGGAAACAGACAUUCUGAAGGCUUUGCAAUCAACGCAAAUUUUCAAAUUAGAGGGAAUUUUUCUUACAAAUACCAUUCUUCAGGAUACAAAUAGAAUUUGUAAAUUAAUCAAUUAAUUAAUUAAUUGAGACAGAGUUCUCUGUGUAGCCCUGGCUGUCCUGUAGAUAGGCACUGGCUCUGUAGAUCAGGCUGGCCUCCAGCUCAGAGAUCUGCCUGUCUCUGCCUCCUGAGUGCUGGGUCAAAUGUGUGUGCCACCAUGCCUGGCUGGAUAAAUGUAGGGUUUUUAAAAACUUAGUUUUUGAAAUUGAGUCUCACUAUGUAGCCCAAGCUAGCCUGUAGCUCACUACGUAGUCCAAACUAGCCUCAGACUCUCAGCAAUCCUCCUGCCUCAGACUUCCACUCGAUGGGAUUGUAGGUAAGAGACACCCUGCUUGCUUGGCUACAAAUAGAAUCUUGGCUCUGUAUUGCAUGGACAGAAUUGGCUAGUCCUGGCUACUGCCUGUCUACUGCCUGGCAGCAUCUCUGUGGCCUUCCAGAGAAAAACUUGCAACCAUGUAGCGAAGUCUGACUGAUACCUAGAAGCUGCCGAGGAAGAGACACAAUUCCUAGCCUGAUCCCACGUUGCUCUUCCAGCCUUUUGGUGGGUCCCACUAGCUGUCUGCAUAUUCCUAGGGUCUCAAAGAUGGUCCCUCACAUAAAUGGCCUCAGAGAGCUCUGGACUGUAACACUUCAAACUGUCCACAACUUCUGAAGCCCUGAUUAGUAAAUCAGCCUCAGUACGAACUGGAGUUUUCUUCAGAAGCCUCCUGCUCAUAUGCAGCUGAGGAUGACUGGGAACUCCCGAACCCCCUGCUACUACAUCCCAAGUGCUGGGACUACAGGUCUAUCAGACCACACCCAGCUAUAGAGCUCUUUGUCAAUUCUACCUUCAGGUUUUUAAUUUUACUUUAAAGCGUGUGUGUGUGUGUGUGUGUGUGUGUGUGUGUGUGUGUGUGUGUGUCCGUCCGUGUAUGUGAAUAUUUGUGAGUGUAGGUAGUGUAGGUGCCCUUAGAGGCUGGAAAAGGGUGUUGGAUCCCCUGGAGCUGGAGUUACAGGCAAUUGUGAGCCACGUAGGGUGCUGUGUAGGGGAAGCUGUAGCCAUAUGUCUCCACAAAAUUGGAACAGUUUUUCAAAUAUUAUAACAUAAAGCAUGUCACAGGUAUACCACACAAUCCUACAGGACAAGCAGUGGUUGAGAGAUCUAAUAAAAGACUUAAGGAGAUGCUCAACAAACAAGCUUGGAAGACUAAACCCCCCAAACAUAGGUUGCAUAAUGCUUUAUUAACACUAAACUUUCUUAAUGCCAAUGAGAAAGGACAAACAGCUGCAGAAAGACACUGGACUACGGAGAAAACUGCUGAACUGAAUCAGCCGGUAUACUUCAAAGAUGUACUAACCUCUGUAUGGAAACCAGGACAUGUGUUACGUUGGGGUAGGGGUUUUGUAUUGGUUUCCACAGGAGAAGAAAAUCUUUGGAUACCAUCAAAGUUGAUCAAGAUUCGAGUUGAAAAGGAAAAACCUCUCGAUGAGGAGAAAUGACAGGUAUUCUACUAAGGUAUAUCUCAUAAACUAAAUAGAAACCUCCCAAAGGAAAGGGAAGUGUUUUGCUCUUAUCUUCACAGGAAAACUCAUCUCCAGAAGGCAAAGGACACUGCUUGGGUAGAUGCUUAAGAAGAGAAGCCAAUGAAGACCUGCCUGACAGUAAUCCAUCGACACCCCGGAAAGAAAAUGGACCACACCUCCUCGACUGCACUUGAUCCAACUUUCUCCAUUUCAACUGACAUUCCGGCCAGAGCUUCGGGUACUGACUUCAAUCAAGUUGAGGAUUUCAAGCGAGGUCUUCAAUCAAGCAAAUCCCAUCUAACAUGGACUGGAUACAAUAACAUUUUCUUCCUACAGGACCCCACAAGGCUAUCGUUGUCCCAUUUCAGCAGGAAGUAACUUGGAGGAUGCUACGCCCCCUUUCCCCAUUGUUGUCACUUAGGAUAGUGUAUAUACCUAGUUAGGGAUAGCUUCCUAUUGUUUAUGGUUGGGAUUGGAAGGAGG
ensembl:lncRNA